rnacentral:rRNA from 1 species
GACGAACGCUGGCGGCGUGCCUAAUACAUGCAAGUAGAACGCCGUUGCGAACGGGUGAGUAACGCGUAGGUAACUGCCCCAAAGCGGGGGAUAACUAUUGGAAACGAUAUCUAAUCCCGCAUUCUGUGGGAUAGACCUGCGUUGUAUUAGCUAGUUGGUGAGGUAAACGGUCACCAAGGCGCCGAUACAUAGCCGACCUGAGAUGGUGAUCCGACACACUGGGAAUGGGACACGGCCCAGACUCCUACCGGAGGCAGCAGUAGGGAAGUUGCGGAAAUGGACGGAAGUCUUGACGCGCAAAGCCGGGUUGGAGGAGAAGGUUUUCGGAUCGUAAAGCUCCGUUGUUAGAGAAGCGGUAACUAAACAGAAAGGGACGGCUAACUACGUGCCAGCAGCCGCGGUAAUUC